rnacentral:rRNA from 1 species
UGCGCAGGUGGGGAUGUAAGUCAGUGGUGAAAUGUUGCCGCUCAACGGUAAAAUUGCCAUUGAUACCGCAUCUCUUGAGUAUGGUUGAGGUAGGCGGAAUGUGUUGUGUAGCGGUGAAAUGCAUAGAUAUGACACAGAACACCGAUUGCGAAGGCAGCUUACUAAGCCAUUACUGACGCUGAGGCACGAAAGCGUGGGGAGCGAACAGGAUUAGAUACCCUGGUAGUCC